AGUUCAUCACAUGUCUAUACCUUCCUCGAGUCCCUGAGCCUCUCGUGAAUUCUUCUGAGCUUCUGUGUUUUGAAGGACUGUGUUUGGACCUUUGAAGAUUGGACCUGCAUGAAACCCUGAAGCAGGACUGCAGUGCUGCUGAGGAGGCAAAAAGAGGACCGCCUUCCUCCUGCCAAUCAUCCCCUUCAGCGGUGCCCUACCUGAGCGUCCACAGUCCGCACAGGAGAUUAGGUCUUCAGGACAGCCGGUCUUCUUUGAGCCCCCGAGGCAGAAGUCACAGUAGCCGUUGGCGAUCACUGAGCCGUCUGCUGCUUUCUUGGCUGGAAGAGAGAAAGUGAAAAAAAAGAUUUAGAAGCCAUUGAUGCAUUUAGACUGACCAGAUUCAAACAACUGCAGAGUCAUAAACUUCAUACACACCGAUUCAUCGCCCUGGACCGGUCCACCACUAUGACUCACCAUGCAGGACAGAAGCAUCAGCAAAUACAACAGAGUGGACUGCACAGGCCCCAGAGAGUGAAUCAGCAGGUUCUGAUGCAUGUGAGCGAGUCGGGGCUGCCCGCUGGCCUGCCUGCAUGGAGCGACUCCAUCAAUGAUUAAACGCCUGCGGCCAUGUUUCAGAGGCCGCCUGCAACCACAGACACGCCAUCGCCGGCAAAAGGAGAGAGUGGGAGGGGAAGAGGAUGGCGAUAGAGGGAGAGACAGAGUGCAUAAAGAGGAGUGAGCUAAUGAGCAGAAAUAAAAGACACAUAAGCCUGGCAGAAAAGAAAGAGACGGGCACAAGUCAGAUUGAGACUCAGGGCCUGGAAUCAAUACAACAACCCGACUCUGGCUGGUCGAUAAUCCCAUCCUGUGGCCUGUCGCAGUGGAGGCCCUCAUCAACUUAGUGUGUCUUUCUGGAGGGAAUAACCUCUGCCUCCACACACACAAACAAACAGGCUGACCUGUUGACUCUCCUCACUUUGUCUUUGACUUUACUUCUUCUUUUUCUUCCUUAAUUUGCUCGAUGUAGCGUCGCACAGAUUCUGAAAAUUUUGGCCGACACAAUUAAGUCGAUUGAUAACUCAGAUACCAGCAAUUUUGUCAUCACUGUUCGUAUUUCUUUGUGUCUGUUUUCCAAAUAAGCUUUGAUAUUUGAUGUAUUUAAAUCCUCUUGAAAUGUCCCUGGAACAUGUCUUACAAACUGCAUGCUGCGUCCGGACUCCAUCACUGCCAACAUUUUCUUUCAUGUUUCACCAUUAAAAAAAAAAAAGCAGAUCCUCCAACAGGUGACGUCUUCUGCCCAAAAUAAAAAGUAUCUUCUCUGAAUCGGUAGUUAGGUGUACUAGUUUGCCGCUGCAAAUUGAUUUGACACAACGAAUACAUAUCGGUUACUGACAGCGGUCUACUGAUACUGAUGUUUAACCGACGUAUUGUGCAUCCUGUUGCCAUCGCUACAAAAGUGCAAACAUUGGUAAAUCAAGGCUAAUGUUGUGAUGGGAAUUAAAAAACAACAUUUGAGAGUGGUUGCAUGAAUUUUUUAACAAUUACUGAAGGCAACAGACACUCCUGUACAGCAGGUGUUGACAGCAGGAGGAGGAAU